rnacentral:rRNA from 1 species
UACGGAGGGUGCAAGCGUUAUCCGGAUUCACUGGGUUUAAAGGGCGCGUAGGCGGCCUGUUAAGUCGGACGUGAGAUCCCUCGGCUCAACCGGGGAACUGCGUCCGAUACUGGCGGGCUUGAAUUCGGGAGAGGGAUGUGGAAUUCCAGGUGUAGCGGUGAAAUGCGUAGAUAUCUGGAGGAACACCGGUGGCGAAGGCGGCAUCCUGGACCGACAUUGACGCUGAGGCGCGAAAGCCAGGGGAGCAAACGGG